GGUGGGGUGGCAGAGUGGACAAAUGCGCCUGCCUGGAACGCAGGUGGCCGAGAGGCCUCGUAGGUUCGAAUCCUACCCCCACCG
rfam:Haloferax sp. SB29 contig_676, whole genome shotgun sequence.